rnacentral:rRNA from 1 species
AGCGAACGUUUGCGGCGGGCUUAACACAUGCAAGUCGAACGGGCUGUUCCUUCGGGGGCAGUCAGUGGCGCACGGGUGCGUAACACGUAGGUAAUCAACCCUCUGGUUGGGGAUAACACUUCGAAAGGAGUGCUAAUACCCGGUAUGGCGCAGCGGUCUUCGGAUCGCGGCGAGAAAGACCCGCAAGGGUUGCCAGAGGACGGAGCCCUGCGGCCCAUCAGCUAGUUGGCGAGGUAACGGGCUCACCAAGGCGAAGACGGGUAGCUGGUCUGAGAGGAUGAUCAGCCACACUGGAACUGAGACACGGUCCAGACUCCUACGGGAGGCAGCAGUGGGGGAAUAAUUGCGCGAAUGGGCGAAAGCCUGACGCAGCCACGCCGCGUGAGCGAUGAAGGCCUCGGUCGU